rnacentral:rRNA from 1 species
UACGUAGGGGGCGAGCGUUGUCCGGAAUUAUUGGGCGUAAAGAGCGUGUAGGCGGUUCGGUAAGUCUGCCGUGAAAACCUGGGGCUCAACCCCGGGCGUGCGGUGGAUACUGCCGGGCUAGAGGGUGGUAGAGGCGAGUGGAAUUCCCGGUGUAGCGGUGAAAUGCGCAGAUAUCGGGAGGAACACCAGUGGCGAAGGCGGCUCUCUGGGCCCUACCUGACGCUGAGACGCGAAAGCGUGGGGAGCGAACCGG